rnacentral:tRNA from 1 species
GCCGGGAUGAUGGAAUGGUAGACAUUGGGGACUUAAAAUCCCCUCCUCGUGAGAGGGUACGAGUUCGAGUCUCGUUCCCGGCA